GAUGAACGCUGGCGGCGUGCCUAAUACAUGCAAGUCGAGCGAACAGACGAGGAGCUUGCUCCUCUGACGUUAGCGGCGGACGGGUGAGUAACACGUGGAUAACCUACCUAUAAGACUGGGAUAACUUCGGGAAACCGGAGCUAAUACCGGAUAAUAUAUUGAACCGCAUGGUUCAAUAGUGAAAGACGGUUUUGCUGUCACUUAUAGAUGGAUCCGCGCCGCAUUAGCUAGUUGGUAAGGUAACGGCUUACCAAGGCGACGAUGCGUAGCCGACCUGAGAGGGUGAUCGGCCACACUGGAACUGAGACACGGUCCAGACUCCUACGGGAGGCCGCAGUAGGGAAUCUUCCGCAAUGGGCGAAAGCCUGACGGAGCAACGCCGCGUGAGUGAUGAAGGUCUUCGGAUCGUAAAACUCUGUUAUUAGGGAAGAACAAAUGUGUAAGUAACUAUGCACGUCUUGACGGUACCUAAUCAGAAAGCCACGGCUAACUACGUG
rnacentral:rRNA from 1 species